rnacentral:lncRNA from 1 species
UUCUCUUCUUCUUCUUCUCUUCUUCUGCUUCUUCGUCUUCUUCUUCUUUAAUAAGGCAAUAGAUCUGCCUUUUUUUUUUUAGAUUUUAUUAUUUAUUUCAUGAGAGUACAACAGAGAGAGAGAGAGGCGGGGACACAGGCAGAGGGAGAAGCAGGCCCAUGACACUGUCUUCUUCUUUUUCUUCUUCUUCUUCUUCUCUUCUUCUUCUCUUUAUUCUUCUUUCUUCUUCUUCUUCUUUAAUAAGGCAAUAGCUCUGCCUUUUUUUUUUAAGAUUUUAUUUAUUUAUUCAUGAGAGUACACAGAGAGAGAGAGAGGCGGGGACACAGGCAGAGGGAGAAGCAGGCUCCAUGACACUGUCUUCUUCUUCUUUCUUCUUCUUCUUCUUCUUCUUCUUCUCUUCUUCUUCUUCUUCUUCUUCUUCUUCUUCUUCUUCUUCUUCUUUAAUAAGGCAAUAGCUCUGCCUUUUUUUUUUUAAGAUUUUAUUUAUUUAUUCAUGAGAGUACACAGAGAGAGAGAGAGGCGGGGACACAGGCAGAGGGAGAAGCAGGCUCCAUGACACUGUCUUCUUCUUCUUUCUCUUCUCUUCUUCUUCUUCUCUUCUCUUCUCUUCUUCUUCUUCUUCUUCUUCUCUUCUUCUUCUUUUUAAUAAGGCAAUAGCUCUGCCUUUUUUUUUUUUUAAGAUUUUAUUUAUUUAUUCAUGAGAGUACACAGAGAGAGAGAGAGGCGGAGACACAGGCAGAGGGAGAAGCAGGCCCCAUGCAGGGAGCCCGAUGUGGGACUCGAUCCCGGGACUCCAGGAUCGCGCCCCGGGGCCGAAGACAGGCGCUAAACCGCUGAGCCACCCAGGGAUCCCCUUCUAUUAAAAUUUUGUGUAGCAAUCUAACAGAUUAGGGUACGUCGCUACAGCCCUGGAGGGAUCUGGAGGCGGGCAGAGCCAGGUCUCCGCCGUGAGCACGGGGGCCGCCCGCAGAGAGCCUGGAAGAGCCGCGUUCCGGGGACCCUGCGCAGGCCGGGGACGUGGGCGGGUACGCAGCUCCCAACCGCGCAGGCAGCAAGGGUCCGAGCUGCGCCGAGCGGCGCGCACCAGGCCGUCCAGGAGCCCCACCCCCUGCGACCUCGCAGCACCCCCUCCCCCACCGCGGGAAGGGCUCCGCACGCCGCGGGCCAGAACUCUCGGGCGCAGGCGCAGAGCCGCGCCGCCCACGCCCCCGCCGGCGCCCCAGUCCUGCCGCAGGUCUGCGCGGGGAGGACGAGGCCGGGCCCCACCGAGCGCGCGAGGAGCCGCUGCUGCCCGGGCCGCCUGGUAUCCCCGCGAUGCCCAUGAGGAAACUGAGGCACACAGAAAUGAAGCACCUUCCUUGAAGUUACACAGCUUCAUUAACAGAAGCUUUGUGAGAAGAGUAAGGACUGAGGUAUGCCAUCUUACAGUGUGGACCAGACUUUCAGAAAGUUGCAUUCAGUUGGCCAGAUGUGGACAUUACCAGACCAGUGAUUCUGGCUGCCUGGGAUACGGCCUUUGCUAG